rnacentral:rRNA from 1 species
GGAAAGGCGCGCGAUACAGGGUGACAGCCCCGUACACAAAAAUGCACAUGCUGUGAGCUCGAUGAGUAGGGCGGGACACGUGGUAUCCUGUCUGAAUAUGGGGGGACCAUCCUCCAAGGCUAAAUACUCCUGACUGACCGAUAGUGAACCAGUACCGUGAGGGAAAGGCGAAAAGAACCCCGGCGAGGGGAGUGAAAAAGAACCUGAAACCGUGUACGUACAAGCAGUGGGAGCACGCUUAGGCGUGUGACUGCGUACCUUUUGUAUAAUGGGUCAGCGACUUAUAUUCUGUAGCAAGGUUAACCGAAUAGGGGAGCCGAAGGGAAACCGAGUCUUAACUGGGCGUUAAGUUGCAGGGUAUAGACCCGAAACCCGGUGAUCUAGCCAUGGGCAGGUUGAAGGUUGGGUAACACUAACUGGAGGACCGAACCGACUAAUGUUGAAAAAUUAGCGGAUGACUUGUGGCUGGGGGUGAAAGGCCAAUCAAACCGGGAGAUAGCUGGUUCUCCCCGAAAGCUAUUUAGGUAGCGCCUCGUGAAUUCAUCUCCGGGGGUAGAGCACUGUUUCGGCAAGGGGGUCAUCCCGACUUACCAACCCGAUGCAAACUGCGAAUACCGGAGAAUGUUAUCACGGGAGACACACGGCGGGUGCUAACGUCCGUCGUGAAGAGGGAAACAACCCAGACCGCCAGCUAAGGUCCCAAAGUCAUGGUUAAGUGGGAAACGAUGUGGGAAGGCCCAGACAGCCAGGAUGUUGGCUUAGAAGCAGCCAUCAUUUAAAGAAAGCGUAAUAGCUCACUGGUCGAGUCGGCCUGCGCGGAAGAUGUAACGGGGCUAAACCAUGCACCGAAGCUGCGGCAGCGACGCUGAUGCGUUGUUGGGUAGGGGAGCGUUCUGUAAGCCUGUGAAGGUGUGCUGUGAGGCAUGCUGGAGGUAUCAGAAGUGCGAAUGCUGACAUAAGUAACGAUAAAGCGGGUGAAAAGCCCGCUCGCCGGAAGACCAAGGGUUCCUGUCCAACGUUAAUCGGGGCAGGGUGAGUCGACCCCUAAGGCGAGGCCGAAAGGCGUAGUCGAUGGGAAACAGGUUAAUAUUCCUGUACUUGGUGUUACUGCGAAGGGGGGACGGAGAAGGCUAUGUUGGCCGGGCGACGGUUGUCCCGGUUUAAGCGUGUAGGCUGGUUUUCCAGGCAAAUCCGGAAAAUCAAGGCUGAGGCGUGAUGACGAGGCACUACGGUGCUGAAGCAACAAAUGCCCUGCUUCCAGGAAAAGCCUCUAAGCAUCAGGUAACAUCAAAUCGUACCCCAAACCGACACAGGUGGUCAGGUAGAGAAUACCAAGGCGCUUGAGAGAACUCGGGUGAAGGAACUAGGCAAAAUGGUGCCGUAACUUCGGGAGAAGGCACGCUGAUAUG